rnacentral:rRNA from 1 species
UACAGAGGGUGCAAGCGUUAAUCGGAAUUACUGGGCGUAAAGCGUGCGUAGUCGGUUAUCUAAGUCGGGUGUGAAAUCCCCGGGCUCAACCUGGGAAUUGCAUUCGAUACUGGAUAGCUAGAGUUCGGCAGAGGGAAGCGGAAUUCGGGUGUAGCGGUGAAAUGCGUAGAUAUCCGAAGGAACAUCAGUGGCGAAAGCGGCUUCCUGGACCAGAACUGACGAUCAGGCACGAAAGCGUGGGGAGCGAACAGG